GGGAGCAGAAGUGUGAAAGUGGUGAGUUAAAGGGAGAAGUGUGAAAGUGGUGAUUUAAAGGAAACAGAAGUGUGAAAGUGGUGAUUUUAAGGGAGCAGAAGUGUGAAAGUGGUGAUUUUAAGGGAGCAGAAGUGUGGAAGUGAUGAUUUAAAGGGAGCAGAAGUGUGAAAGUGGUGAUUUUAAGGGAGCAGAAGUGUGAAAGUGGUGAUUUUAAGGGAGCAGAAGUGUGAAAGUGGUGAUUUUAAGGGAGCAGAAGUGUGAAAGUGGUGAUUUUAAGAGAGCAGAAGUGUGAAAGUGGUGAUUCUAAGGGAGCAGAAGUGUGAAAGUGGUGAGUUAAAGGGAGAAGUGUGAAACUGGUGAUUUAAAAGGAGCAGAAAUGUGAAAGGGAUAAUUUAAAGGGAGCAGAAGUGUGAAAGUGGUGAUUUUAAGGGAGCAGAAGUGUGAAAGUGGUGAUUUUAAGGGAGCAGAAGUGUGAAGGUGCCGACUCUUACCAGAAUGCAUAGUUAGUGACGAGAUCCCGUGAAUAAGUGAGUUUGCGUUACCUGCGUGUUCUGCCAGGUGUGGGCGGAGGUGUAAAGGUAAGUGGAUGAGGUGGAGAGGCUGUGUGGAGGUGGGUGGUGGCUGGCUAUGGAGGUAAGUUAAUUGUGUGUGUGUUUAAAAGUGGAUGAGUGGGUGGCUAUAUUUGCAUGUGGCGAUGAUGUGGUGGGUGUAGGUGGAUGAGAGGUGGAAGGGAGGUAGUCUGGGUGGCUGUGGGUAAGUGGAAGUGGCUGGUUUAGAAGUGGAUUGGGUAGUGGAGGAGGAAGGGAUAAAAAUAGCUGAGUGUGAAGUGAAGUGGAUGAAUUUAUGUGGAUGUGAGUGAAUGUGGUGGAGGAAGUGGAGUGUUGAGGCUGAAAUGUUUGUUUGACGUGAGUGUGGUGAGGCGUGGGAUCAAUGUGGAGUAUAUUUAAGGUGGAAUUAGAUGCAGUGUGGAGAGAGAGAGAGAGAGAGAGAGAGAGAGAGAGAGAGAGAGAGAGAGAGAGAGAGAGAGAGAGAGAGAGGAAUUACAAGAUAUUAAUAUGAUAUGAGAUUUUGAAGCGUGGGAUGAAGUGGAGGAGGAUAUUUGCACAUUAAAUCGAAGUGGAGUUUAUUAAAAGUGGAAUUACGUGUCAGGAGUGUGGAGUGGAAGCUGGUGGAGGUCGAGGGAGGUAAAAUGUGGAGUUACUGAAUAUUAAUGUUAAAUUAGAGUGGGAAUUUACUUCAUGUGUAAUUAAAAGUUGGUAGUAAAUUUGGAAAGUGGAAGAAAAUAAUGAAGUUUAGUAAAUAUGAGAGAGAGAGAGAGAGAGAGAGAGAGAGAGAGAGAGAGAGAGAGAGAGAGAGAGAGAGAGAGAGAGAGAGAGAUAAAAAGGAUAAAUAAAGAAGAUAAGGAACAAGGCUAUAAUGGAAAAAACACAAAGGAAAAUAAAGAAAAGCGGAAAAAAUAAAAAAAAUAAGAAAAGAUAAAAAAAUAAUGAUGAAAAAAAAAAAAAAAAAAAAAAGACGAGAAAAGAGACACAUUCCUUUAUUUACCAAACCAUUACAUAGAGUGGAGUAUGAAGUGGAUGCUGGUGGAGACAGACAGAGUUACAGUGUGGAAUUACAAAAUGCUCGUGCAAAAUGAGAAUCGGGAAGCGUGGGAUCAAAGUGGAGUAUAUUUAACGUGGAAUUAGGUGUGAGGGUGGAGUGGAGGGUGGAGUGGAGGGUGGAGGGGAGUGGUGUGGUAAUGCAUGACCUCAUUCCUCUAUUAAGGGAAUGAGACGACCUCACCCAGAUGGCAGCCUCCCACGGGUCUCUUCCUCCUCCUCCUCCUCCUCCUCCUCCUCUAAUUGGAAGGAGAGUAAGAGUAGGAAUCGAGUAAGUAUAACUCUUUCUACACCCAAACAUGUAGUUAAUUGAAUCAGGUUCCCAAUUAGGUGGUGGUAGUAGUAGUAGUAGUAGUAGUAGUAGUAGUAGUAGGAGGAGGAGGAGGAGGAGGAG